rnacentral:lncRNA from 1 species
UUUUAUGUAUAUAUAUAUAUGUAGAGUUGAGCUGGAAUACUAUCGGCAGCAAACGAGCUCUGUUGUCAACCAUUUAUUUUUGAUGAUGGAGCCUCCAAAUCGGUGAUCGGCGCUGUUGAAUAUGAUCUAUAUCACAUGAAGUAUCUAGAAAUCAAAUUUCAUACUUUUUCGAUAUUGUUUUCUUGUCUAUCAAAUAGACGUAAAAAUAAACGACUGAAAAUAAAUAUCCUCUAAAAAGUGAUUAUAGGAAUUUUGUAAUCAAGAUCGAAAGUAUAGAUCUUGUUCUAAAUAGUUUAAAGAAUUUUCUGACCAAAAUUUAAUUGAUUUGGAUAGCUUUAUAUCGUUAAAUGAGAAAACGCUUCACAUCUAUCAUUAAAAUUACAAAAUUUGAAACUCUUUAAUCAUUAGGUCAAUGAUGUCGAAAAGAUUUAAAAUUUGGUUUCUAGAUACUUCAAGUGGUAUAGAUCAUGUUCAACGAUGCCGAUCGUCGAUUUGAAGGCUCCAUCAUCGAAAAUAAAUAAAUGGCAACAAAAUCCGUUUGCUACCGAUAGUAUUUCAGCUUAACUCUAUACAUGUAAGCUUAGAUAUAAGUACCAAUCAAGGACCACAUAUUUUCUUACUUUUCUU